rnacentral:rRNA from 1 species
CUCGAACGAGAUCUUCGGAUCUAGUGGCGCACGGGUGCGUAACGCGUGGGAAUCUGCCCUUGGGUUCGGAAUAACAGUGAGAAAUUACUGCUAAUACCGGAUGAUGUCUUCAGACCAAAGAUUUAUCGCCCAGGGAUGAGCCCGCGUAGGAUUAGGUAGUUGGUGAGGUAAAGGCCUACCAAGCCAACGAUCCUUAGCUGGUCUGAGAGGAUGAUCAGCCACACUGGGACUGAGACACGGCCCAGACUCCUACGGGAGGCAGCAGUGGGGAAUAUUGGACAAUGGGCGAAAGCCUGAUCCAGCAAUGCCGCGUGAGUGAUGAAGGCCUUAGGGUUGUAAAGCUCUUUUACCCGGGAUGAUAAUGACAGUACCGGGAGAAUAAGCCCCGGCUAACUCCGUGCCAGCAGCCGCGGUAAU